rnacentral:SRP_RNA from 1 species
UACCGGGUCUUACGCAAUAAGAACUCAUGAACCGCGUCAGGUCCGGAAGGAAGCAGCGCUAAGUGAUCCUUCUUAUGUGCCGCAAGGGUGCCUGGUUGCU